GUCACGUCCAACCCAACCUGCCCCUACCCCUGCCUCCUCUAUGGCCCUUGUCCCGUAUUCCCCCGAUGCAGAUCCCAGUUACCCGCUCAUGGUGGUCGGCUCCGAUGAGUUCGCCACUUCGGGACAACCCUAUGCUAUGGGUGUUUCUCCGGCAACCUCAGGCUUCCAUCCUACUACGUCACAGUUGGGCACUCCCCAAAACAUUGUCACUGGCCUCCCUGCC